UGUAACGGAUCGCGCAAUACAUCGAUACGCGGGUGAAAAGUUUCCGAAGUUAUGAUCAGUGUAAACAAUAUGUGUGGUUACAUUAUAUAAAUAAUAGUAACGAGUACCUAAUAGAAUUUUGUCUAAUCAGUUUAUGCGGAGUUUGGAGCAGUAAAGACUCAGGCUGGUGAGGCGUUUGAGACACAAAGUUGAUAUUGGCGACAUCUUUGCACAUUGCAACGCAUGACGAAACAUGGACAGCGCAGGCAACAAUACCACAUUAUAUGAUGAAUACCUCAACCCUAGUGAACUGACUUUCCAAAGAGAGUUCAUCGCCAAAGAUACAGCAAGCAACAUCACGUGGCCCAUUGAAAAAUGCAUACAAAAUCUCCUUAUUGACGAAAAGACUGAUGAUAUAAUUAACCGCACAUUUAUGAUUAACGGAACGUUAUUAAGAUGUUUAGACCACGCACCUAUUAUGACCAAAAGUACUGUUGUCAGAGCCAGCGUGCUCUCAGCUAUGGCUAUAUUAUCGUUGUUCGGUAAUAUAGCUACUAUUGUAAGCUUAAAAAGAGGAAAGCGAAGUAGAGGGCGGGCAAGGCCUUCGUGGACUGCUAUAUACAGUUUGAUAUUUCAGUUGAGCAUAGCGGAUUUAUUAGUGACAGUGUUUUGUAUAGCAGGAGAAGCAGCGUGGUCUUUUACUGUUCAAUGGUAUGCUGGCAACAUUGCUUGCAAGAUGUUUAAGUUCCUGCAAAUGUUUGCUUUAUAUUUGAGCACGUUUAUACUGGUUCUAAUUGGAGUGGAUAGGUGGCUUGCGGUGAAGUAUCCAAUGAAGAGUAUGGCCACGGCGACGAGGAGUGGAAGACUAGUCAUUAUUGCCUGGGUGCUCAGUUUCUUAUUAAGUAUACCACAGAUCGUAGUAUUCCGAGUGGUAAAAGGCCCAUUUAUCGAGGAUUUCUACCAGUGUGUCACAUAUGGCUUUUAUACCGAGAGGUGGCAGGAGCAAGCGUAUACGACGCUAUCACUUAUAUUCAUGUUUAUACUGCCUCUAGUGAUACUGGUCUCGACGUAUGUUUCUACUGUUCGGACUAUUGCAAAGAGCGAGAAAGUCUUUCAGCCAGAAGUUAUUCGCCAGGAGAAGUAUUUAACGCCAGACAUGAACAGGCGCAGGCUGAUCGACCGAGCCAAAAUGAAGUCUUUGAGAAUGUCCGUCGUUAUAGUCGCCGCGUUCAUAGUUUGGUGGACGCCGUAUUAUAUUAUGAUGAUAAUAUUUAACUUUCUGGAUCCAGAUAAAGACACGUGCGGGGAACGACUGACGAACGACGACUCUACUGCCCACACUUCAAAUGUACCGAACAUUUGAAGCGUCAGCUUAAAGUCCCUACAGUGGAAAUGGAUGGAAGGAGAAGAUGGAACGAUGGAAAGAGUUUCUGCAUAUGUCCGUUAGGAUAAUAUAUGAUGUAUAAUGAUUUUUGACUCGUGCAAAGUGAAGAGCUGCUAUCCGGAAUUUUCUUCUUU
rnacentral:misc_RNA from 1 species